ensembl:lncRNA
GGGAGGGACCAGCUCGGGAUUGCCUGUUUCUUUUUAAGGUGGCUCUGUGAAUUAAUUAGGUGAUCGGUUAGAAGCGGAGCCAGGAGAACAUCCGCCUCGGGGCGAGGAGUCGAGAAGCCGAGGAGACUUGAGAGGAAGGUUGCAACAGGGAGGACAUGUUCCUACUGGAAGGAAAGGAUCCGAGUAGAAGGAAAGAAACCUUAUUAGAAAGAAAGGAUCCUGCUGAAAAGAAAGGUUUCUACUAGAAGGAAAGGAUUCUAAUAGAAGGAAAGGUUCCUACUGGAAGGAAAGGAUCCGAGUAGAAGGAAAGGUUCCUACUGGAAGGAAAGGAUCCGAAUAGAAGAAAAGGUUCCUACUAGAAGGAAAGAAACCUUAUUAGAAAGAAAGGAUCCUGCUGAAAAGAAAGGUCCCAUACUGGAAGGAAAGGAUCCGAAUAGAAGGAAAGGUUCCUACUGGAAGGAAAGGUCCCAACUAGAAGGAAAGGAACCUUAUUAGAAAGAAAGGAUCCUGCUGAAAAGAAAGGUCCCUACCACAAAGGAUCCAAAUAGAAGGAAAGGAUCCUACCAGAAGGAAAUAUGGAAGCAAAGGAGAAACGCACAUCUGGACUGAUGAGGCUCAUUGGGUGCCAUCUCAUUUAUUAUUACAUAAUAGUUUAGGGGUUUUGUUUUGUUUCUAGGCAACAAAACUUUUGAAAAUAAAGUUUGCGCAUGUUGUGGGAAAACGAUCAUAAUGCUUCAAGAUUUAAAAUACUAAUAUUUCAAGAUUAAAAUAUAAUACUUUAAGAAUCAAAUCAUCCUAUUUCCCCAGUUAACACAUUUUUCCUCAUUAAGUUCCAUAGUAAAAGAAAGUUUUUACAUUUUUAUGUUUUACUUUUUUUUUAAUUAUUAAAUUAAUUAAAAAGCAAUAAGAUUUAUUUUGAGAUUAGUGUAAGGUCAUUACAAUUGCGCAGUAACGUAUUAUUUAGAGGUACACGUUGUAGACAGUACAGUUCAAUAUAAUGUGUAAUAACAAAUAUCAAACGUGAUCUCAGUGUGAAUCAUGGUGCGUAUCACAUGAUGAAGGCCUUUAAUAUGUGGUGAUUAAAAGCAAAGUUCACAUUUAACAUCAGAAAGAGAAGAUUAAAGCCCCCACAGCCGUUUGUGCUCACGUCUGCUGAGAAAAGCAGAACACGAACAAAGAAUGUGACAAGAAAUUUUCUCCCCCGGCUGCCAACCGGCCACUCAAUCAGCUCGGCCUCCCACGCUAUGCUAAUGACGGCGAGGCAGCGAGCCGGUUGCAGCCGCCAUUUAGCGGCUCCGCUUCGCCCUCAACGCCAACCGGCCUGCAGGUGGAGGAGCGCGGUGUUCCUCACGACGAGUCCUUGAUCUCUCAUUUUAAAGGGAUUUUAUUCUCUUCAUUCAGUCUAUUCCAUAUUGAUGCACAUUUUAAUUGUUUAAAAAGUGAAAUGCAUGACAACUGGUUACGGUUUGCACAAUAAUAGUAUUCGACCAGAAAAACAAAUGGAUUUCCUGUAAUAUCAAUGCAAUGAGACGUGAUAAUUAAACAGCAAUAAACGCUUGGGGGGCUUUGAGGUGGCAGAAACCAGAUUGGUGAUCACUAAUAAUAAAUAUUGCUAUCAAUUAAAUGAACUUUCAGCGACCAUGAGGUCAGCUGUAUUGAUUUGUGUCUCAGGUCGCUCAAAUGCUCAAUGCAAUUAUAUUAAAAUACUUUUUAAAACGAAAAAAAAAAGAAAAUGGAUUAUUUUUGUCACAAAAAACAGGAUAAUGUUCAAAUGAGUUGAUUGACAGGAAUUAUUGAGUGUGGCCCGCGAAGCUGAGCCGACUGCUUGUUGAAUAAAUUGCUGGUUCUUCUGCAUUCUUCCUAGUCUACUGACUUUCACUCAAGUGUUCUUUCCCUUGCAGGUAUGUUUACAGUGUCUUUGACCUCAGCGAAGGAUCUGUUUAUUCAGUUAAUGUCACAUUUCGCCCCCCUGGACGCACUGUUGUCACAACACACCUGUGUAUCUUUUGUCAAUACGUCCCACCCAGUCUCACGUCCAACAAACGCCACCUAAAGCUUCGGAGACAAACCGUCCGGAGGACACUCGUGACAUCAGACGUAUUCAUCGACUUCCGUGUGUGUGUGAGGGGGAGAAAGGGGGAACCCAAGGACAGUUGGUUGGAGGUGCUUGUCAGACUCAUGUGAGGACUCUUUGUAACUCCGAACGAAC